rnacentral:ncRNA from 1 species
ACAGUACAAACUGAGCAGACCAUUGACGUUUCGUUAAGGAGUCGGGCCAUGUAAGUGGCAGUGGAAUCUUACAUCCACGGGACAGU